UACGGAGGAUGCAAGCGUUAUCCGGAUUCAUUGGGUUUAAAGGGUGCGUAGGCGGCCAUUUAAGUCAGCGGUGAAAUUUUGCAGCUUAACUGUAACAGUGCCGUUGAUACUGUUUGGCUAGGAUUUGGUUGUAGUGUGCGGAAUGUGUGGUGUAGCGGUGAAAUGCUUAGAUAUCACACAGAACACCGAUUGCGAAGGCAGCACACUAAGUCAUUAUUGACGCUGAGGCACGAAAGUGUGGGGAUCAAACAGGA
rnacentral:rRNA from 1 species